CGCGUAGGCGGCAUGACAAGUCACUUGUGAAAUCUCCGGGCUUAACUCGGAACGGCCAAGUGACACUGUCGCGCUAGAGUGCGGAAGGGGCAAUCAGAAUUCUUGGUGUAGCGGUGAAAUGCGUAGAUAUCAAGAGGAAUACCUGAGGUGAAGACGGGUUGCUAGGCCGACACUGACGCUGAGUGCGCGAAAGCCAGGGGAGCAAACG
rnacentral:rRNA from 1 species